CUUUCUUUGCUGGCGACCGGCGCACGGGUGAGUAACACGUAUCCAACCUGCCCUUUACUCGGGGAUAGCCUUUCGAAAGAAAGAUUAAUACCCGAUAGUAUAAUGAUUCCGCAUGGUUUCAUUAUUAAAGGAUUCCGGUAAAGGAUGGGGAUGCGUUCCAUUAGGUUGUUGGUGAGGUAACGGCUCACCAGGCCUUCGAUGGAUAGGGGUUCUGAGAGGAAGGUCCCCCACAUUGGAACUGAGACACGGUCCAA
rnacentral:rRNA from 1 species